rnacentral:rRNA from 1 species
CAGCAGCCACGGGAAUACGAAGGGUGCAAGCGUUAACCGGAAUUACUGGGCGUAAAGCGCGCGUAGGUGGUUCAUUAAGUUGAAUGUGAAAGCCCUGGGCUCAACCUGGGAACUGCAUCCAAAACUGGUGAGCUAGAGUACGGUAGAGGGUAGUGGAAUUUCCUGUGUAGCGGUGAAAUGCGUAGAUAUAGGAAGGAACACCAGUGGCGAAGGCGACUACCUGGACUGAUACUGACACUGAGGUGCGAAAGCGUGGGGAGCAAACAGGAUUAGAUACCCCCGUAGUCCCUGUCUCUUAUAA